AUGCCAAUAUCACCAUGGGAGUCUCCUCUAGACCUCCCAGCCAGAACAAUGACACCGAUGGAUUAUUCUUUGAGGAGCUAAAGACACUUCCAAGUCAAUUGCCCUUGUCCUUAUGGGGGACUUCAACUUGCCAGAAAUUAAUUGGGAGCAUCACACAAAUGAUACAACCCAGGCCAGAAGAUUCCUUAAAAAACCUGGAUGACAACUUUAUGGAACAGGUCCUAGAGGAGCUGACUUAGAAAGAUGCCCUCCUUGAUCUGCUGCUUGUCCACAGAGAGGAUCUUGUGAGCAAAGUGGAGAUUGGGGGCAUCUUGGCCACAGUGACCUCAAAGUGAUCAAGUUAAAAAUCUCUGUUAACAGGAGAAAAACUGCCAGCCAAACCUCAGCUCUGGCCAUGAGGAGAGCAGACUUCAGGCUGCUCAGGGAAUUAGGAAGGAAGGUCCCCUGGGAAAAUGGUUUUGCAGGUGCUGGGGGCCAUCACUGCUGGUCACUUCUCAAACAUCACCUCCUAAGGGCACAGGAGCAGCAAUUCCCAAAUGUUGGAAGUCAAGCAGGAAGUAUUUUUCAAAGAAAUCCAGGCUGCAUGCAAGAUACAGAGGAAGCUGUCAAGCCUUUGACCCACUUCUAGAAAGUUGUGAAAGCUUCCAAACCAGGGCAGCACCUCCAGGACCCUGAAUUUCUGUUCCCUCUUUCCCUUUCCCUUUCCCUUUCCCUUUCCCUUUCCCUUUCCUUCAAAAAUUCCAGGUAUUGGGAAACACAUAAAUAGCCAGGACACAGAGGAGCUAACUAAAAAAAUAAACUUUUAUUUGAAUAAAA